UGGAGAGAUGGUUUGGACGGGAUGUACACCGUGUACAGAGAGUGUAGGCUGUGGGAGUCCACCACUCUCACAGAUGGAGACAUCAAGUACACCUUGAAAAGUAAUUACAGCCACAAAGAAAGGGUGAAUUCAUGUGUCAAAUAUACUUCACCAUGGAGGGUGAGCCUAACAGAACCUGCAUCAACGGUAAAUGGAUCGGACAGAUGAGAUGCCUCAACCUGUAUUGUGAAUGAAGACGUUAUCAAGAACAUAA